UACGUAGGGCGCAAGCGUUGUCCGGAAUUAUUGGGCGUAAAGAGCUCGUAGGCGGUCUGUCGCGUCGGUCGUGAAAACUUGGGGCUUAACCCUGAGCUUGCGGUCGAUACGGGCAUGACUGGAGUUCGGUAGGGGAGACUGGAAUUCCUGGUGUAGCGGUGAAAUGCGCAGAUAUCAGGAGGAACACCGAUGGCGAAGGCAGGUCUCUGGGCCAUAACUGACGCUGAGAAGCGAAAGCAUGGGGAGCGAACAGG
rnacentral:rRNA from 1 species